CCCAUCUCUGUGAGGGCCCAGCCCCUAGCUCCACCAGAAUGGGUGGAAAUGGGAUGUCCAGGUACGAGGUUGUGAUCCCUGCUGCUGUUGGGGAUGUUUCCAAAUGCAGAUGUUUUCAGAUGCAGGCAGCCUCUGGGACUGCUUUCAUCUCCAGAAGCUUGUGAGGUUGGUCCAGGCUGGUGCUGAGUGGGCAGUGCAGACCACCACUCUGGGGGCCCAUCGCAGACCUGUGCAUCCUGCCCACCCCACAGACGCGGCAGUGAUUUCUGUGGUUCUGAACUGGGUCGGGGCCGGCAGAGAACAGAGCGCGUGUGACCCCAGCAUGUAUGGAGUUUUGCAGCAGGACACCAGGCCAGGCCUGUUGGGAGAUGGGCGUGUGGCAUCUUGCACCCUGUGUGGGGCUGAUGCUGUGUCCCCUGAGACUUCAGAGCUGGAGACCACUGUCCCCAGUACAUGGAAUCACUGGGGCUGCUGAGAAACAAGUGAGGAAUAGCUUUUAUCUUUACUCCCACUUCCCUCCGAGCCUGCCCUGGGGGCUAGUUCUUUCCCAGCCCAGAUGACCCUUCAGGAAGGUCCUGGAGCUUUCUGUUAUCCUGGGGCAGUACAAUGUGCUCCAGUGAACAGUCCCAAGAACAGUCUCAUUUCAAGAAGAAAAGUGAGUCAUUGUGGGCUCUCUGGAGUUUUGCCUGCCUGGUGGGAGCCCAACCCACCCUGGGAGUGGGCAGUGGAAGGAACGCCCUGUGUGUCUCUUUUCCCCUCUCUUGCCUCUGUCCCCAUGCCGUUGGUCCCUGAGGGAUAGAGCAUCUGGGUAAAGGGUGGUCUUGCCGCUCCAGCUGGCUGGCACUCCCCAGGGGCCAGCAGUCAGUAACUCUGCCAUUGUCCGGUCCAGGGCACUUCUGUGGGUCUCUCAGAGAUGCUGCAUCUGGGAACUUGUGACUCAUCCUGUGACCUAGGGGACACCUCACUGGGCUGGCUUCUGGCUCCCAGGCCCCUGGACAGUCCCUGUCUCCCACCCCCGGGCCACAGGCCACUCCUCCUCCCUCUCAGGGGUGACUCUGGCCUUGCUUCCAGCCAUAGAUUCUUAUGAGAUCAGGUGCCAGUCCCUAGUCCCCAGUCCCCAGCUGUGCUGUCCAAGGGGCUAGAAACUGUGCCCUGCAGGCAGGACAGGAGUCACCUGCCCCUCCUGGUGGAGCACAGGAAGCCCCCAGGCCUUUCUUCUGGUCUUCUGUGGGAAGGCAGGCCUGGGUGGGGAGCCUCUGCAGUGUUGGACCUGGGCCUGCUGGCCACUGAUGCUGGCCCCAGGUGGCAGGAUGGGGCACCCUGAACAUCCUGUUCCCUGGCUCCUGGUGGGUCUUUAUGGAGCUUCUGGACUUUGGAGGCGGCCCAGGAAUGGGGGGGCACAGGGGCUGGGGAGCCAGCUGGGGAGUCAGAGGGUGCCUUGCGCCUCUGUCCUGAGAAGUGGGGCUGACCCCCUGGUCCUUGACCUCCUUGCGUUCUUGUCCAAGGGUCCACAUUGUCCCCACACUGUCAGCACAGCAGUGUUGCUGCUUCAGGAGGUGGCCGGAGAGACACUCCCGCCUUGCAGAGCUGGGCAAAUAAUGACCGUUCCUAGAGUUUGUUGAGGGAGCAUCACGCCUUUCAGGAGUUGUUCUGUGAGGGUCCAGAGUGGUCAUUUUCCUGAGUUCAGUGAUAUCUAAGGGUUAAUUGGAAUGUCGUUGUCUAUGUUGGGUUUGGAGAUGGGAAGGCUUCGUGUUUAUUCAAAUUAGCAGUAAUAUAAAAUUACAAUUUUAGUCUUAAUUGUAUGUAUUUGGGGAUCCCAUUUAAGUCUCUGGAAAUAAUUGCAGGGUAAUAUUUUAGGAAGUUAUACUGAAAAGAACAGAUGUUGCCUGGGCCCUGGUGGAGAGGGUGUCCAGGGCAGUAGGUCUACGCCCCCCUCCCCGCCUGGCUCUGGGCACGGUGCCGGCAGGGGCCCUCUGAGCUUAGCAUGAGCUGCACCCGGGCUUUAUGACACUCUCCAUCCCUCAGGGCAGUAAGAGAUGUGCUUUGGCUUCUCACAGGGGCCUGUGGCAGGAAGAACAGGGUUCCCUGGUGGUAGGAUGGUAGACAUCCCAAAAGAGGUGCCCACCAGCUUGGGGUCCAUCCAGCUUUGUCUGCUCUGUAGACCCGGUUGAAGGCCGAUGGUCUCUCAUGUGCUUAUGUGGGCCCAGCCUUGACUGUGGGUCUUUUUGUUGUUGGGGCUCGUGGUAGUUCUGAGCUGUGACUUGUCAGUCUCAAUGCUUUAUCCCCAGAGGCAUCCCCUGAGCCACAGAAGAUGGUCACAGCUGCUUGACUGCCCCAGACUGCACCUGGUAGCUGGGCUGCUGAGAGCUGUCCAGUCAUAGCUUUCUGAUCAGAGAGUGAGGCCAGAACAAGAAAAAUAAAAAUGUUAAGCAGAGUGCACUGACCUGUGGUCUAUGCUCUAUGAAAUAGAAUCUUGCCAUGUUAAUAUCAUUUAGGAUUUUAAAUCUGGCUCCAAAGUAACAGUAUCUUUAACAAGAAAGAAGUGUGAAUGUCACUUACAAGAAGCCCAGCAGUGGGCAGUUUUGUAGGAUCGCUGAAGACAGUGACCUCUGGUAUCUUUUUACUCCUUUUUCUUACCAGAUGGCUUUCAUUGCAAAGCAUCUUAUGGUCCAAGAGGGCUACUGGGGCUGCAGCCAUCAGGCUUGUGUUCCAGGCAACAGAAGGAAGGGUGAGCAAAUGGGGCUAGUUAUAUCGCCCCAACUACCUGAACAGAAUGAAGUGUCAUUCACCUUAAAAAUCCAAGUUCUGUUCCUAAGAAGUGGAGAUGGGUGCAAGCAGGCAAGUCCCUACCAGGGCAGCCCUCCCAGGAAUGCCUGCCCUGCUGCCCUGCUCAGCCCUGGGGUAAGUCGGCCUGUUUGCUUGGUAUCCUUUCUUCCCCUCCUCUUUCCUAGGCAUGUCCUAGGCAGCGGUGGUCCCAGAUGAAUGUAACAAAGGGGAAUCACUGACCUCAUGGGCUUGACCCACGCCAACCUGCUGCCUGGACACUGCCCUUGUUGGUCUGCGGGCAUCCCUGACAUGAGAGCAGGUGACAGGAGGCAGGCCUCUGAACAGCAGUGGAGGCUGAAGACAGGGGUGUGACCUGCUUGUCGCAAUGACCAGCUGCUCACAAAGUGAGGUCUUCACAGGCCGUGAUGGGCAUUGAAUGGACACUUGGGGUCUAUGCCCCAUCUUCCCCCCAAAAGGCUGUAUUGAAAUGAAGAGGGACUCAGUUCUCCAACCCCGUGUUUCUUGAACUUGUAUGUUGGUUGAUAUUUCCCUAGAUCCAGGUCUCCUUAAGGGGAACCAGAGCCCUGUAUGGCAGCCCAUACCCUUGGGGCCUCUGCUAUCUGACAUGACCCGUGGCCCUGCUGCCCUGCUCUCCCUCCCAGCCCCACCUUUCUUUCCCUGUGUGCUCUGGCAGGUGCGGUAUGAACGGCACCCAGCUCUGUCUGCCGUGGGCUGUCUUACCUGUGCAGUUGAGGUGGGAACCUGCAGCUUGGGUUCCAGGCAAGUGGCUUUGAAAUCAUCCCUGUGGGUUUCUAGGGCCAGCAAAGCUGAGGGCCACUGAGGGACCCCCUGUGGGCACAGGCAGAGGCUGUUCUGGGGCUUAGUGCCAGAGGGUCCGCAGUGGGGGUGGAGGCCAGAGGAGGAUGAAGGCCAAGGUUGCCAUGCAGGUUCUAGAGGGCGGAGCUGGGGUGGAGUUGUGGGAGGAGGGUGGCCAGCAGGGCUCACCUCAGCCUCUAUCCGGCUCAGGAUGGAAGGGUAGGUGCAGGGUGUGGACAGUCCAGUCUUGCAUGGGAGACUCUGCUGGUCUCAGCUGAGGUUACAAGGAGGGAGUCGGGGCAGGAGCCAACAAGCCUAUUCCUAAUUAAGGUCUCCUUCUUAUCCAAGAGAAGGAGUGGGUCAUUUCUGUUUAGUUGAGUUUGAUCGUGGGUUAGAUCGUGCUCUUAAGCGCCAUUAAUUCACAUUGAGCAUGGCUCUAUUAACCCCCAGGUGACCAGGCAGAAACCCUGGAUCCCAGACCAGAAUGUGAGCUGUCCACAUGCAUUCAGGUCAUUUGGAAGGUGUUGGUAUUGUUCUUUUGUCUGUUUAUUUGAUUGCUUGUAGAGAAAUGAAGACUUUUGGCCCAGGGGAAAUGUUUUUCUCCUGAGAGCUAUUUCAGUCUAGUUGAAAAGAGAUAAUUUGGUCUUGCAGUAAUCAUGGUGUUUCCAGUAGUCAUGGUGGAUCUGUUGGACAUGUCAGGGGGCCUCCCUGUGUGGUGAUGGGGAGAUUUGAGUGUCCUGUGCUGGCUUCUCUGGCUUUGCCAUGUGGCUCUCUUUCUGCCAACCUUCUUGUACAUUUCAGUUCUCAAGGAAGCUGCUUGAAGUAGAAGCUGUGGGCUUGGUCCCUGGCCAGCUGGCCUUCUGUGACCUUCCACAUUGGCCCUGUGCUGGGACUUGUGGGCUCUCCCCCUACCCAGACGUAGGGGGUGGCCAGCUCAGUGCAGAGGCCAGUUUGUCCCCCAGAGUCACCAGCAGUUCCAGGCACAAGGUAAUAAUGCCCACACAUUAGGUACAUGCUGGACCCCCGGUUUCUCCUGAGUUCCCCUCCACAGCUCAGUGCCCCUGCGGACCAGAGCAAGGGCGGAGAGAGUGGGCUGGGAAUGACCAGUGUUCACAGAGCCUGGACCCCAAGGCAAGUGAAAGGGAAGCAGUGAGGGACCUGGAUGAGGGGCAGGUCGAGAGCUCUGGCGGUGAUGGGUGAGGGCAGGUAGGAGCCAGGGACAUGGCCCCUCGGGACAGAGAGGACAAGGGGUCCAGAGGCAGAGGCAGGACAUGACAUGUCUUCUUGCUGACUCUGGCACCCCAUGCCUCUUUGAGCCUCAGUCUCCCUCCUUCCAGUCUGUGAAAUGGGCCUAAGGGAAAUGUUCAUCUCCCAGAUAUGUUUAUGUAGAAAAAGGAAGCAGUUGGCAAUGGCAAAGCACUCUUCCCAUCUCCUUUGGCCAACCUCCCAGAAGAACACACCCCUGUUACUGCAUAGGAUGCAGGCCUGUGUGUGCCCAGCUGGCCUCGAGGUUGCCUGAGCCCAUGUCCAGUGUGCUCUGCCAAGAGGGCAUCGUUCAUCCAGGAGGGGCAUCAGAAGAUGUGUGGAUCAAGUGGGGUUCAAGGCACUUCCUGUCUCCUUGCCCACCUGUGUGGUCUUGGGGUAUAAGGGCUGUGUCUGAGGAUGCUUUGGGAUGGUCACGCUUAGAUGCACCAUCCUCCACAGCACAGCAGCCUCUCCUGGAGCCUCUGCCACGGCUGACUUCACACAUCACAGAAUGCGUCUGCUGUGUGGCCCUGCCUGCUGUUGGCAAGGUUGGACAGGGUGUGGGUGCCCUGGGAGGGUUGGGCCGCACAGUUCUCCAAGGUCAGAGGUCGGGGAGAAAGGGCUUCUUGGUGGCAGCCCACUCUCUGCCCCCGCCACGGAGUGCCUGGUCCCCAGGACCCGGCAACUCACCCUUCCAGGACCCUGUGGUGGGAGAGCAUGGCGCUUGGUCUUGGGGUUGCAUCAUGGUGGGUCUGGUACCUAAAUCUCAGUAAAACUGAACAGGUGUCCUGAAGCACUGAGGACAUGGAGUUGGUUAUUAUUAGAAGAAACUAGAACAUUCCUCAGGAUCUACCUGGGCAGAGGUUCCCAAACUUACUCAGAUCAUGGCAUCCUUGAUGUCUCCUUAAUUUUACAGCAUCUUUAGGGCAAAAGAAAUACCUAACAGUUUUGCUUAUUAAAUAGGGCUGUUGAAGUUUCCAGUUGUGGCUCAGUGGAUUAAGAACCCAACAUAGUCUCUGUGAGGAUGUGGGUUCGAUCCCUGGCCUCACCCCGUGGGUUAAAGAUCAGGCAUAGCCGUGAGCUGUGAUCACAGAUGCAGCUGGGAUACAGCAUUGCUGCGGCUGUGGCAUGGACCAGCAGCUGCAGCUCGCAUUCAGCAGACUCCUAGCCUGGGAACUUCCAUAUGCCACAGGUGCAG
rnacentral:lncRNA from 1 species